GCAGAUUUCAGAUUUCGGUGUUACAAGGACUGAUGUUGGAACUUAUUGCUAUAAGCAAGCGAGCAUAAUUUUAUCCAGUGUGAACUAAAAAUUAUCUAAAUUUGGGAACUAUUAUAUAGACGAAUAAAGCUUCGAUGUUGGAUGAAGUGAUAGAUUAUUUAAAGAAGCUACAGACACAAGUGAAGUUAAUGAAUAGCAUGUCAAUUCCACCACCACAAAUGAUGAUACCAGUACCCCUACAAUUGCAACAACAAGAAAACCACCUUCACAUGUCAAUGCUAGCCCAAAUGGGAAUGGGAUAAGGCUUUCAGAUGGGCAUGCAGUAUGCCCCUGCCACUGUAUGAUACUCUACAGUUGAGGCCAACCAUUGACCAUUGUCUUUUAGUUGAAACAAUGUCAGUAAAGGGAAGACAACCACUUGCCAGCGAGGGAUCUCUGUGUCAUCAGCAUUCAUCGACGCCGAUCAGUUUUGGGUUGCAUGUACCAACUACCAACCCUAAUCCGAAUUGUUUAUACGGGUUUCUUUCCACCUAAUUACACCAUAUGUCUUGCGCUCCUAAUACCUCCCACCUACUUACACCGUGCUUAUGCUAAUUCUGGUUCCUUCAGCCUCUUCAACGUGCGUCUACAAAGAUGUAGGCAUUGCUGUUGGAAUGUAAUGUUAAUGUCAGAAUCACAAAAACAUUUAUUUUGAGAAUUCAGCUCCUGAGGUGUUUUUUUAGAAACAUUCCCAUAUCCUAAUUGAUACCUGCUGAUAGCCGUGAGUGGGGAUUUAAGACAACAAUGGACCUGGGAGAAUUUGUGAACUAAGUGGACCAACUCAGAGAUUCCGUUCGUUAGAUAAUGCUGUUGGUUUACUAAAACUGUAUGUAGAAGGUUUUGUAUUUCAAAUUGUCGUUGUAAUCUAUUAUAUUGGUUUGUGUUUUAACGUGUAUAAAAUCAUCAUAUUUAUGUCAAUGGUGAUAAUGAAGAUA